CUGGAAGUGAACGGAGGGAAAGUUACUUUGGAGGAGGACGACCAUUUGGGGAGUUGCUCAGUGAUCUCUCCGCUACCACCUCCGGUGUGCCAGAAAGCCACCAUCCACAUCUAGGGCAGGGAACGAUUGGUGUGGAAAUCAGUGGCGGCC